rnacentral:misc_RNA from 1 species
GGCAGGAUCAACCAGGUAGCAUUCCUCAGAGACAACGAGUCGCAAGAUGUAAAACAUCUACGCAACAUCGAACGUCAAUCGAAUGGGACAUGUGAUGCCUAUUUGUGGGCAAAUAGAGGGUUGGACGACCCUUGCCUGCAAUGUUUUCUGAAUCCCCGAAAUCAAGCUCAGCUCGUGGCCGACACUGCAUAGCAAUUUAUAUGCAUUUCGAAACACGAAUUUCGCUUUAAGGUUUGCCCGAUGCCGCACCGUGUAAUCGGGCAGCAGUGGAAAAACUUGGGAUAGAUUGCCCAGCAAAUUCCAUUGAUGUAGGUAUACAGUACAGGAAACCGACAAAUCGGCCAAGGCAAAGGAGGCUCUUGUGCCAAUAAUGAAGAGGAAUGCACGAGAGGAUGUCGCUACCCAAGUAGGGAUCCAA